GUCUACGGCCAUAACAUCCUGAACACACUCGAUCUUAUCUGAUCUUGGAAGCUAAGCAGGGUCGGGCCUGGUUAGUACCUGGACAGGAGAAAGUAAUCUAGAGUGAUGGUGAGAUCUGGCUCAACAAACA
ensembl:rRNA 5S_rRNA 5S ribosomal RNA